AAGUCGUAACAAGGUUUCCGUAGGUGAACCUGCGGAAGGAUCAUUAUUGUACAACGUGUGUGAGGCGUGUUAGGGCUGUCGGUGACUUUUUGACACAAAAGUCGUGCACGCCGGAGCACGUCCUCUCUCUCACAUAAAAUCCAUCUCACCCUUUUGUGCACCACCGCACGGGCACCUUUGGGAGGCUUGGGUU
rnacentral:misc_RNA from 1 species